ensembl:lncRNA
AUUUGUUGCUGUUGAGAGUUCAGUUGUAGUCGGUGAGAAUAUAAGAGUGGUUGUGGGGCUUACAGCUGUAGUUGUAUAACCUUCAGUGGUUGAAAAUUGUGUUGUUGCAGCACCAUUUGUUGUUGUUGUAGGUGAAGUUGCUGAAGAUAUCAGAGUGGUUGUGGGGUUCACAGCUGUGCUAGCAGAAGCUUCAGUUGUCGAAGACAGUGGAGUUAUUGUUGGAGCAACAUUUUCUGUUGAUGGAGGUGCAGAGAAUACAGGCAUGGUUGUGGGGUUCCCAGCUGUGGUUGUAUAAGCUUCAGUUGUUGAAGAUUGUGCUGUUGCAGUUGGAGCAGCAUUUGUUGCUGUUGAGAGUUCAGUUGUAGUCGGUGAGAAUAUAAG